UGCUUAGUUGAGGUUUUAUUGCUGCCACGAAACACUUCAACAAGGAGUCAUCUGCAAAGAUUGUUGGAUCAAAAUAAUCUAGGGAUUCAUGACUAAAUUUUUCGCCAGGAAAAAUUUUGUCCUGUGGGUUGACAUCUGAUAAACAUUAAAAAUACACUAAAUAAAAAAAUGAAGCUAAAAAUAUUAAAAGGCCUGAGGCUAAUCUAAUCUCAGAUAUUUGGGCCUGUAUAAAUGGGUGUAAAUCUUUGCUUCCAUUGCUUUAAACGCAUAAUGAGUUUGAUAGGCGUGCGUACUUCGAGAACUUUGAGUAAAUAUCACUGCUGUACACGAUUUCACCUGCUGUAACUAGGCAGCUUUAGACGAAAAUGCCUAACAAUUAGCUACAACGUCACCCAAGCUUUUAUCACGUCAUUAGCCGCCCACAAAAAAAGCUUAGCACGUUAUCAGCGCUUUCACUGAUUAAGGAACCUCCUGCUGACGUAUUCGUUAACGAGAAAAUUUGGUUGUAAACAAUAGAAAUAGACGAUGUUUACCACGCUGCUGAAGAAAGAACACCGAAGUUAUUAAGCCUACAUCCGCUUCAUUUACUUUUGCGAUCAACAGAAAUUACCUGGAAGAUUUUGGGCGAUAUGCUGCAGGGAUUUGCUGUUCAGGAGAUUGCUCAUUUUCUACAUCUUUCAGAAGACCCGGGGAUGGAGGCUGAGUCUGACAAACAGAAUAAGAGCAUUGUAUGAGAUUGCACUGCAAACUCCAAUUUGUCCUCAAAUGUGCUAUAAAUUCGACAACCAAUACACAAACAACCCCGCGACCUGGCCGCACCCGCAGAACCAAACCGGAAAGUUUGGUUCACAAAAAGGUGCUUGAUGAAGACUUCGACUCGAAGAUGCCUUUCCCUGAAACUAUAACUGAUCACCAAAGGAUGAAAAAAAAAAUCAGAGGGAGAUUGUUCAGUUUAAGCCACAGGCAGUGUUCUUCAACCUUAUUUCGCUCUUUACCUUGGAUUGUCCCAAGAAAUCACGCUUUUCGCUAAUGGCAUCAAUAUGGCGU